AUUGAACGCUGCGGCAGGCUUAACACAUGCAAGUCGAGCGAGCGGCGGACGGGUGAGUAAUGCUUAGGAACCUGCCUAUUAGCGGGGGACAACAUCUCGAAAGGGAUGCUAAUACCGCAUACCAAUAGAUGAGCCUAAGUCGGAUUCGCUAGUUGGUGGGGUAAAGGCCUACCAAGGCGACGAUCGGUAGCGGGCCUGAGCGGAUGAUCCGCCAGACUGGGACUGGGACACGGCCCGGUCCUCCACGGGAGGCAGCAGUGGGGAAGAUUGGGCCAUGGGGGGAAGCCUGGUUCAGACAUGCCGCGUGUAUGAAGAAGAGCUUAUGGUUGUAAGGCACUUGAAACGAGGGUGAGUGACUCGCAGAAUAAGCACCGGCUAACUCUGUGCCAGCAGCCGCGGUAAUUC
rnacentral:rRNA from 1 species